rnacentral:rRNA from 2 species
UGAAGAGAAGCUUGCUUCUCGGAUCAGUGGCGGACGGGUGAGUAACACGUGAGCAACCUGCCUUUAAGAGGGGGAUAACGUUUGGAAACGAACGCUAAUACCGCAUAACAUAGAAGAUUCGCAUGUUUCUUCUAUCAAAGAUUUAUCGCUUAAAGAUGGGCUCGCGUCUGAUUAGCUGGUUGGUGAGGUAACGGCUCACCAAGGCGACGAUCAGUAGCCGUACUGAGAGGUAGAACGGCCACAUUGGGACUGAGACACGGCCCAGACUCC